GCGUUUCUACUCUUUUCUUCUAGGGUUAUGUUUCUGUUGUGGGUUUUAGGGCUUUUGAUAAUUUCGAGUGAAAAUUAUUCAAUUUCUCGUUUGAUUUUGAUGUUGUGCUAAGAAAUUUUCUGUUCAAUGCGUGAUUUGUAUCUCUCUUUGAUCAUCUUUUGCUUUGUUAAAAGUGUUACGAAAGUGUAUGAAUCUAACAUGUGAUUUUGGAAUCUUAACAAGGAAUCAACAUGAGAAGGAUGUGGUGCCAUGGUUUUCUUGAAUGACUUUAUAGUUUAAGUAAUUUUUGAGUGUGUUGUAGUCUUUAAGGUUUUCGGUUUUCUUGUUGUGACUCUGGGUUUUGUAAAUGUAUUGUUCUUUUCAAGUGCUUCUUGUACUCGUUACUUUCCUGAGGAACCUGAUUUUUCAUACAAGAUGCAUAAAAACUUUACAAACAUGUAGUGUGUUUUUCAAAGACCAAAAUAUAUUACAACUAUUGGUCCUUUCUUGUACAUCAAUCUGUGAGCUUAUGAAUAAUUUUUGAAAAUUGACUAACUUUUGUGAUUGGUUUUGAUUUUCUGGUAAAGGUAAAUUUCAUGAUCUAUUGUUCUUCAUUUCAAGUGUAUUGACAAAGGUAUAAUGGAAGCUGAAUGAUAUUUUGCCUUUUUGUGCUUCUCUAAUCCAAGGAGUAAUAUAUAGUUGAAAAUGUUAGAGGUUUCAUGGAUGAAAAGGUCGAAUAAUUUUCUAACAAAACUUUGCAGUUCUAGUUAGAAGGUUUAUCGAAUACUAUGUGCUAUAGCAAUGUUAGAUGCACAUCUUUUCUGAUUGAAGAAUAAAAAAGAUCACGGUUUUAAGGAAUGCUGCAACAAGGGGGUGGGUUGGGGAGGCCUUAUCAGUUGUGUCUAAAAGUUUUCAGUCAGAACUCUCAAACGUUUUUUAGUCCACUGUUGGAACUAACGGUCUAGGUGUUUGUGGCUGUUUCCCGUGUCUGAUUUGGUUCUUCUAUUGUUAUAGGAGAUUCACUAUUCUUCUCUGCCACCAUGUAUGAGAAGUUAGUCUGUGGAUGGGUCUGAACAAAUUAUUGUCAUCUCAUUAUAUUGUUUAUGUCUCUGCUUCUACUGGGCUGUAUUUGGCAAUCUAUUCUUGUCAGGACAAAUACGGAAUUAAACCUACUGGAAGUACAGAGCUGGCUAUUGCCCCUUGUGUUAAUGUAAUGACUAAAUGAAAAAAUGGUAAGCGUGGCUCCUAUUGGGAAUUGGAAGCAGUGGACCUCGUGGUUCCAACAAGGCAUCUGGUACGUCCACGAUUGGCGGCCUUUAGCAUGUUGGAUAUGAUGAACCUUUAGUGGCAUUAUGAUACUCUUCUUCUUGGUUUGGCAGCAUCCAGGACAGGGCAUACUUGUGUUCGUGUCAGAAUUUUUUUUGAGAUGCACCCAUAGCUGUUAUUGAUUUAAACUUAUUUAGUGUUUUUUUUGGAACUGUUAAUCCUUUCCCUCUAUCCAAUCAAGUUCUCAAUUUUAACAC